AGAAAAUGAGAUAGAGAAACUACUAGGCAACCGAAAAAGACAGAGAGAAAAGAGGGAUAAAACACAAAUGAUUGAGCAAAGCACUUGAGGAGGGUAUGUUUGUUUUCUUAAUUUUUGUUUUUGGGGUUUUUGGGUUGUUGUUUUUGUCCACUAAAUCGAAAGAUCUGGAAGAAUGGGAAGGGAGGGA
rnacentral:ribozyme from 1 species